rnacentral:lncRNA from 1 species
UCUGUAUCUCGUUGUCUUGGAUGAAGUCUGUUUCGAGAUUUUUGGGGGUGUUUCUGAGACCUUAUGGUCGAUGAUGAUUCCGACCUAAAUCGGAUACUUUUCUGAGAUUUUCUUCGUGAUAUCUGAGUAUAUCUUCUCCACUCGAACGUUCUGGGAGGUUCUCCGAUGAUUUUUGGGUGAUUUUUUCGGUGACCUAUCGGCUUCUAGGGUUUCUGGUGGUUUAACCUAGAGUUUUACUGCUUUCUGGUGGCUCGAUUCUCACUCAGUGUAUGUUUUGGGUGCCUUUCCGACAUCACUGACCACACUUCCAGUAAGGAUUUUGACGGUUACACCUAGGGUUUUGUACCUAGGGUUUUCUGUAUCGUUNNNNNNNNNNNNGUGGAUGUUUUGGGUGCCUUUCCGACAUCACUGACCACACUUCCAGUAAGGAUUUUGACGGUUACACCUAGGGUUUUGUACCUAGGGUUUUCUCUAUCGUUUGAAGGCCGAUCUUAUCUGGUCGCGAAGAAGGAGG